GGCUGACUCAACGCCUGAGUCUUCCGUCAAGGAGCCACCGGCACGCCAUCAUAGAGGUCGCAGGAGGAGGAGACAGGCGUCAGCCGUUCCUCAAAGCCCGGAGGACGUUCCCGAGCAGGCCGCUGCCGUCCAGGAGGACGUUCCCGAGCAGGCCGCUACCGUCCAGGAGGACGAUCCCGAGCAGGCCGCUGUCGUCCAGGUGGACGUGCCCAAGGUUCCCGAGGCGGUGCCUGAUGCCGAAGCGGUGCCAGAUGUUGUUCCCGAUGCCGAGGCAGUGACCGAUGCUGUUCCGCAGGCCGAGGCGAUGCCCGUGUCCAGGGCCGUUCCCGAGGCGGUGUCCUUGUCCCAUGCCGUUCCUGAGGCCGCUCCCGAGGCGGUGCUCGAGCCCGAGGUCGUUCCCGAGGCGAUACCCGUGUCCAAGGCCGUUCCCGAGGCGGUGCCCUUGUCCAAGGCCGUUCCCGAGGCGGUGUCCAAUGCCGUGACCUGGCCAUCGCCACAGUCUGCUCCUCACUGGCUCCCCGAAUGGCAGGUUCCGUUCGGGCCACUCAAAUGGCGAAUUCCUCCCUGGCCGUCUGCACAACGAGAAUGGACUGAUCCACCGUGGCCACCUGAACUGCCUGGCCCCUCGUGGUCCCCUGAACUUUCGGGUCCACCGUGGCCACCUGAACUGCCUGGUCCCUCGUGGUCCCCUGAACUUUCGGGUCCACCAUGGCCCCCUGAUCUGACCGAGCCACCUGGGCUGCCAGGGGAGCCAUCGCUGCCGGUCCCAGUUCCCCUACACGGGCCUGGCCCGCCAUCCCUCCCCCUGUUCUGCCUCCACCAGUCCACCUCCCUCCUGGUCUCGUUGUUUUGUUUUUGGUGUUUUGUUCUGGGGAGCAUCUGGAAGCUGCUCCUUAGAGGGGGGGUAAUGUCACAGUGUCUGGUCUGUGUAUCCCUGGGUGUCCACUAGAGGUCUCACUUCCCAUUAUCGUCACCCCACUUCAGAACUGCAUUUCCCAUAGUCUUGUCUGUUUCAUCACUGCUCAUUGCACUCAGCUGUCCCUGGUCAUUAAUCAUUGCACUCAGCCAAUUCCCCGUUAGUAUUGUAAUCACCUGUCUAUAUAUACCUGGUUUGUUUCUGUCUGUGUCACGGAGUCCUUGUUUAAUGUCACC
ensembl:lncRNA